rnacentral:rRNA from 8 species
CUUUCCGUAGGUGAACCUGCGGAAGGAUCAUUA